rnacentral:misc_RNA from 1 species
CGUUCCGCCGUCAGUCGCUGGCGAUGCGUUGCCCUGUUCGUGUGUUGUGUUUGUGUUUCCUGAUGUCAUUCGGUUCCGUCGUCGCCGUUGGGCCACCCCUUUAGACCCUUCAAUCGCUGUCCCCGCCGUGAUAUCAUUUCGCAUCAUUUGACGUCAUUGUUUAACCCUUUUUAUCCGUGCGCCUCCUCCUUCGAUAUUGACAUUUGGACAGCGACUGUAGCCGUAAAAGUUUCUAAACCGAAGAGGCGAAGUGACACGUCGUGUCCAGACAUCUUUUCCGCGGGAACGAACGUUAAUCGAGACACGAGGAAAAUGUGAAAACUCGAAAGUAUCUCUUCCGGAAACUACGUCGUUGAUGGUGUGAAUGAGGAUUAUACUUGACGACGCAAAAUGGAGACGUCACUCGUGAUUCUCGCCGAGAGAGAUUUCUCGAAGUGUCGCGAAGACGUCGAACGUGGCGGCGUCCGGUAUCUCUGAAGGGAAGAUGCACUUUACGAAGAUGCACGGGUGAUACGGGACAGGCUCCGACAAAAUGUUGAUCAAGGAAUAUCGCAUACCGUUGCCUCUCACGGUAGAGGAGUAUCGAAUCGCUCAGCUGUACAUGAUAGCGAAAAAAUCACGGGAGGAGAGCAAGGGUGCCGGUAGCGGCGUGGAGAUAAUCGAGAACGAGCCGUAUAGCAACGGGCCGGGCGGUAGCGGGCAGUACACACACAAAAUUUAUCAUGUGGGCAGUCACCUGCCGGGCUGGUUCAAGAGCCUCCUGCCCAAGUCGGCGUUGAUCGCCAAAGAGGAGGCAUGGAACGCCUAUCCGUACACCAAGACCCGCUACACGUGCCCGUUCGUGGAGAAGUUCUACGUCGAGAUAGAGACCUAUUACUUCCCGGACGACGGCCACCAGGAGAACGUCUUCAAUCUCACCGGCAGUGAUUACAGGAACAGGAUCGUGGAUCUGAUCGACAUUGUCAAGGAUCAGCCCUACGGAACCGACUACUUGAAGGAGGAGGACCCCAAGUUAUACGUGUCGGAGAAGACCGGAAGGGGCCCGCUGGAGGACACGUGGCUCGAGGAUUAUUGGGCCGAUGUGGAAGGAAAGCAACAGCCAACGCCGUCGGGAAAGUCACUAAUGUGCGCGUACAAGCUAUGCCGAGUAGAGUUCCGUUAUUGGGGCAUGCAAACGAAAUUAGAAAAGUUCAUACACGACGUAGCUUUGCGGAAGACGAUGGUGCGGGCGCACAGGCAGGCCUGGGCCUGGCAGGAUGAGUGGAACGGUCUGACGAUGGAGGACAUCAGGGAGAUCGAGCGGCAGACGCAACUCGCGCUGCAACGGAAGAUGGGCCUGGGUGAUUCUGCGGAAGAUGAGCUCGAGGACGAGGGUCGAAAGGCGAACGCGACAACGACGACGGCAACCACAACGGCGACGGUGACGCCGGCGAAUACAACGAUGGCGGAGUCGGCGGUAGCCAAGACGCUGGCGGCCACCCUGGGCAGCAUCGAGAAAAACGAAGAGAUGCAGAGUCCGCUUUCCGUCAGGAAACCAUCUGACAUUCCCAUCAUCAACACGGCAGGCAGCUCCGAGGGUGAGAUCAGUCCUGAGGACUCGCCGGUCGAUCUGAAUGAGAUCAAAAAUGUGACCGCCGAUGAAAAGGAUGCCAAGAAGGACUGGAUGAAAAACAACAUGCCCUUGCACUCGCCAAAUUCGAAUAAGAAUUUCGACAUACAGAUCGCGAAUUGGAGGAUGGAGAGUAUCGUCAGGGAGUCCGAAUCCGGCAGUGAUGACGAGUUCUUCGAUUGUCAGGCUGGGUUCAUUAUACCUGUUAUACGCAAAGAGGACUUUGAAGAUAGCUCUUCAUUAGCUAAAUGGAGUUCUUUGGAUCUUCUAGCAGAAGGGGAGGACACGACUAUGCGGACACCGUCUGCGGCAAACGAGCAAGAAGAUACAAUAUUUUCACCAUCAUAUCUGCAGCGUAUUACUAACGAACGAAGCAGUAAAAGAUUGCAGAUCAAUACCUCAGCGAGCAUCGACGUGUCGUGUCCAACAUCCCCUCAACAUUCUCCUACGCAUCAACCAUGCAAAAUUACUGUUUUAAUUAUCGUGGUACAUGGUGGCAGUGUUUUAGACGCGAAUGUCGAUUUAACAGCGAAAAAGUCAGACAUAACGACAUUUCGCGGAGCUUUUGAAUCCGUUAUGAGACAACAUUAUCCUAGCAUGGUCGGUCACAUAUCGGUUAAAUUUGUCGCUUGUCCUUCGAUUUGUACUGAGGCUUUAGGAAUUUUGUCAAGUUUGAGUCCAUACAGCUUUGACAUGUCGCCUUCAUGCAUGGACGUUCCACAAGUGACGCACGAUACCAUUCCGAUCGGUGCAAUUCCGUUACUAGCGAGUUCGAAUUCCGAAUAUCAGGAUGCGGUAUCGCGCGUGGUGAUGAGCGCCAAUCAAGUGUAUCACGACUUUAUUAAGAGCAACGAGGGUAAAGGGUUUAACGGACAGAUCUGUUUUGUGGGAGACUCGGUUGGGUCAAUCUUGACCUACGACGCCUUGUGCAGAGCGACACAGCACUCGAGACACAGCAGCGAGAAUAGUAUUCUAGAGGGUAGCGGCCAGCAGGGUAAUGACAAUGGCGGAAACGCCGAAGAUGGCAAGCAUCUGUCCGCGCCAUCUCCUAGAAGAAGGUCUUCCGGUACGAGUGACAACAAGCUUGACUUUGAGGUGGGUGACUUUUUUACAUUUGGCAGUCCGCUUGCGUUAGUCCUCGCUUACAGGAAGAUCGCCAGCGACAAGAAUAGUUUCAUUCCCAGACCGUUAGUCAAUCAAGUGUACAAUCUGUUUCAUCCCACGGAUCCCGUGGCCGUGAGAUUGGAACCUUUGAUCUCGGCGAGGUUUUCGUUGAUCCCGCCGGUUAAUAUUGCCCGAUAUCAAAAGUACCCGCUCGGCAACGGCCAGCCUUAUCAUUUGCUGGAAACUAUCCAGACUAAUCCGCAAUUAUUCGCUGAUGGAUUGAAUGUUCCCAAUCUUCAAGUGUCGCAUUUAAGAAGAUUAUCCGAUAUAUCACUUCAAAGUACAAUGUCAGGCAUUAUCGACAAUGUUCCUUUACAGGCAGUGUCUGCCCUGAUGCAAAAAUGGUGGGGUACUAAGAGACUAGAUUAUGCGCUCUACUGUCCAGAGGGUCUUGCUAAUUUUCCUACAAACGCCUUGCCUCAUCUCUUCCAUGCUAGUUAUUGGGAAUCUUCGGACGUGAUUGCGUUCAUUUUGAGACAAUUGGGCAGAUUUGAUUUGCCACUACUCGGCAACGAGGAGAAAGAUCUCACUUGCUUCCGUCCAGGUCAACCCAGAGAAAAAUGGAAUAAAAAGCGUACCUCCGUUAAACUUAAGAAUGUUGCUGCCAAUCACAGAGCGAAUGAUGUCAUCGUGAGGGAAGGUGCACCACAAGUAUUAGUUGCUAGGUUUAUGUACAGUCCUAUUGAUAUGAUAACUUUAACAGGUGAGAAAGUUGAUAUCCAUAUUAUGAAAAACGCACCGGCCGGUGAAUGGACGUAUCUUUCUACCGAGGUAACUGAUAAGAAUGGUAGAAUAAUUUACGAAAUACCAAGUGACAAAGCGCUAGGCUAUGGACUUUAUCCGAUAAAGAUGGUUGUAAGGGGAGAUCAUACAUCUGUAGACUUUUUCAUGGCUGUGAUACCGCCGAAAACUGAAUGUGUGGUUUUUAGCAUAGACGGCUCUUUUGCCGCUAGUAGGUCAGUGAGUGGUAAAGAUCCGAAAGUUUGGGCUGGUGCCGUUGACGUUGUAAGGCAUUGGCAAGAGUUGGGUUAUCUCAUUAUUUAUAUUACCGCGAGACCAGAUAUGCAACAGCAGACAGUGGUUUCUUGGUUGUCGCAGCAUAAUUUUCCUCAUGGUCUCGUCUCAUUUGCCGAUGGUCUGUCGAGGGAUCCGCUCGCCCACAAAGCUGCCUACUUGAAUAAGCUUGUGAAGGAGCAUGGUAUGAUAAUUCAUCAGGCGUACGGCAGCGAGAAGGACAUUAAUGUGUACACGGCGAUAAGUCUCAAACCGAGCCAGAUCUUCAUCAUCGGCAAAGUAUCCAAGAAGCAUCAAGCUAUGGCGACAAUACUGUAUGACGGAUAUGCCGCUCAUUUGAGCAUGCUGCAGGCGCAUGGGGGUUCGCGGCCUGCUCAAGGCAACGCACGCAUGGUAAUCCCCAGAGGUCAAUUUGGUUUACCAGGACAGAAUUCUUCCCUGCGUCGACGAAGGUGACGGAAUCGCGGGACAAACGAUAGUGUACGCUACCGAGAAAACGAGUGUCAAGAAUUAAAAAAAAGAUUAAAUGACUCUUUUAGGACGGCGAAGCGUGCAAUCUCGCAACCACCCCUAGGCAAGGCACCCUUCCCGUUG